CUGCUUGCUUCAGCAGCACACAUACUAAAAUAGGAACAAUACAGAGAAGAUUAGCAUGGCCCCUGCACAAGGAUGACAUGCAAAUUCAUGAAGUGUGCCAUAUUCUU
rnacentral:snRNA from 1 species